CAUGAAGAUUUGGUACAUGGAUUUUAGAAAGAAAAGAGAAGAAAGAGAUUCUUCUUAUGAUCUUUAACGUAGAGAUCUUCAUCCUCUCAUUCUCUUCUUCUUCUCUAAGAGAGUCUUGAGAGAAAAGAAGAGUUUUCAACCAUCAAGAUGCGAUCUCUGCAAGAAAGCUAGCAUCUCGAUGAGAUCAAAAAGCUUCUGAUUAGAUCGAAGCCUCGUG
rnacentral:lncRNA from 1 species